AAACUUGAGAGUUUGAUCCUGGCUCAGAACGAACGCUGGCGGCAGGCUUAACACAUGCAAGUCGAACGCCCCGCAAGGGGAGUGGCAGACCGGUGAGUAACGCGUGGGAAGCUACCCAGUUCUACGGAACAACAGAGGGAAACUUCUGCUAAUACCGUAUACGCCCUACGGGGGAAAGAUUUAUCGGAAUUGGAUGAGCCCGCGUAAGAUUAGCUAGUUGGUGGGGUAAUGGCCUACCAAGGCGACGAUCUUUAGCUGGU
rnacentral:rRNA from 1 species